AUUGAACGCUGGCGGCAGGCUUAACACAUGCAAGUCGAGCGGGGUGAUGGUGCUUGCACUAUCACUUAGCGGCGGACGGGUGAGUAAUGCUUAGGAAUCUGCCUAUUAGUGGGGGACAACAUCUCGGAAGGGAUGCUAAUACCGCAUACGUCCUACGGGAGAAAGCAGGGGAUCACUUGUGACCUUGCGCUAAUAGAUGAGCCUAAGUCGGAUUAGCUAGUUGGUGGGGUAAAGGCCUACCAAGGCGACGAUCUGUAGCGGGUCUGAGAGGAUGAUCCGCCACACUGGGACUGCGACACGGCCCAGACUCCUGCGGGAGGCAGCAGUGGGGAAUAUUGGACAAUGGGGGGAACCCUGAUCCAGCCAUGCCGCGUGUGUGAAGAAGGCCUUAUGGUUGUAAAGCACUUUAAGCGAGGAGGAGGCUCUUUUGGUUAAUACCCAAGAUGAGUGGACGUUACUCGCAGAAUAAGCACCGGCUAACUCUGUGCCAGCAGCCGCAGUAA
rnacentral:rRNA from 1 species